CCCUCCAUCCCGGCUUCUCAGAGAGAAACCAAACAGACCCUUGACCAGAUGGAGCCUUCCUCGCUAAUAAACCUAGCCUAAGGCUGAGAUGUGUUCAAGAAGAAGCAGAAAAUUACCUUUCAGGAAGCCAACGUGAGGUGGAUCUCUAUGAGUUUGAGGCCAGUCUGAUCUACAGAGGAAGCUCCAGGACAGACAGGACUACACAGAGAAACCCUGCCUCAAAAAACCAAAGCCACCAAAUAAAAAAACCAACUGUCUAUCUCACGUACCA